rnacentral:rRNA from 1 species
CGAGUGGCGAACGGGUGAGUAACGCGUGAGGAACCUGCCUCAAAGAGGGGGACAACAGUUGGAAACGACUGCUAAUACCGCAUAAGCCCACGGGUCGGCAUCGACCAGAGGGAAAAGGAGCAAUCCGCUUUGAGAUGGCCUCGCGUCCGAUUAGCUAGUUGGUGAGGUAAUGGCCCACCAAGGCAACGAUCGGUAGCCGGACUGAGAGGUUGAACGGCCACAUUGGGACUGAGACACGGCCCAGACUCCUACGGGAGGCUG